rnacentral:rRNA from 1 species
GAAGCAACGCGAAGAACCUUACCAGGUCUUGACAUACUCGUGCUAUUCCUAGAGAUAGGAAGUUCCUUCGGGACACGGGAUACAGGUGGUGCAUGGUUGUCGUCAGCUCGUGUCGUGAGAUGUUGGGUUAAGUCCCGCAACGAGCGCAACCCCUAUUGUUAGUUGCCAUCAUUAAGUUGGGCACUCUAACGAGACUGCCGGUGAUAAACCGGAGGAAGGUGGGGAUGACGUCAAAUCAUCAUGCCCCUUAUGACCUGGGCUACACACGUGCUACAAUGGAUGGUACAACGAGUCGCGAGACAGUGAUGUUUAGCUAAUCUCUUAAAACCAUUCUCAGUUCGGAUUGUAGGCUGCAACUCGCCUACAUGAAGUCGGAAUCGCUAGUAAUCGCGGAUCAGCACGCCGCGGUGAACUACGUUCCCGGGCCUUGUACACACCGCCCGUCACACCACGAGAGUUUCGUAAACACCCGGAAGUCGGUGAGGUAACCCUUUUGGAGCCAGCCGCCUAAGGUGGGACAGAUGAUUGGGGUGAAGUUACCGG